rnacentral:rRNA from 1 species
CCUACAGGAGGCAGCAGUGGGGAAUAUUGGACAAUGGGGGGAACCCUGAUCCAGCCAUGCCGCGUGUGUGAAGAAGGCCCUCGGGUUGUAAAGCACUUUCAGUGAGGAAGAACGCCUGGUGGUUAAUACCCAUCAGGAAAGACAUCAUUCACAGAAGAAGCACCGGCUAACUCCGUGCCAGCAGCCGCGGUAAUACGGAGGGUGCGAGCGUUAAUCGGAAUUACUGGGCGUAAAGCGCGCGUAGGUGGCUUGAUAAGCCGGUUGUGAAAGCCCCGGGCUCAACCUGGGAACGGCAUCCGGAACUGUCAAGCUAGAGUGCAGGAGAGGAAGGUAGAAUUCCCGGUGUAGCGGUGAAAUGCGUAGAGAUCGGGAGGAAUACCAGUGGCGAAGGCGGCCUUCUGGACUGACACUGACACUGAGGUGCGAAAGCGUGGGUAGCAAACAGGAUUAGAUACCCGGGUAGUC